rnacentral:rRNA from 1 species
GGCGUGCUUAACACAUGCAAGUCGAGCGAAGCAGUUAAGAAGAUUCUUCGGAUGAUUCUUAACUGACUGAGCGGCGGACGGGUGAGUAACGCGUGGGUGACCUGCCCCAUACCGGGGGAUAACAGCUGGAAACGGCUGCUAAUACCGCAUAAGCGCACAGAGCUGCAUGGCUCGGUGUGAAAAACUCCGGUGGUAUGGGAUGGGCCCGCGUCUGAUUAGGCAGUUGGCGGGGUAACGGCCCACCAAACCGACGAUCAGUAGCCGGCCUGAGAGGGCGACCGGCCACAUUGGGACUGAGGCACGGCCCAAACUCCUACGGGAGGCAGCAGUGGGGAAUAUUGCACAAUGGGGGAAACCCUGAUGCAGCGACGCCGCGUGAGCGAAGAAGUAUUUCGGUAUGUAAAGCUCUAUCAGCAGGGAAGAUAAUGACGGUACCUGACUAAGAAGCCCCGGCUAACUACGUGCCAGCAGCCGCGGUAAUACGUAGGGGGCAAGCGUUAUCCGGAUUUACUGGGUGUAAAGGGAGCGUAGACGGCAAGGCAAGUCUGAUGUGAAAACCAAGGGCUUAACCCUGGGACUGCAUUGGAAACUGUCUGGCUCGAGUGCCGGAGAGGUAAGCGGAAUUCCUAGUGUAGCGGUGAAAUGCGUAGAUAUUAGGAAGAACACCAGUGGCGAAGGCGGCUUACUGGACGGUAACUGACGUUGAGGCUCGAAAGCGUGGGGAGCAAACAGG